rnacentral:misc_RNA from 1 species
GAUGAAGAACGCAGCGAAAUGCGAUACGUAAUGUGAAUUGCAGAAUUCAGUGAAUCAUCGAGUCUUUGAACGCACAUUGCGCCCCCUGGUAUUCCGGGGGGCAUGCCUGUCCGAGCGUCAUUGCUGCCCUUCAAGCCCGGCUUGUGUGUUGGGUCGUCGUCCCCCCCGGGGGACGGGCCCGAAAGGCAGCGGCGGCACCGCGUCCGGUCCUCGAGCGUAUGGGGCUUUGUCACCCGCUCGAUUAGGGCCGGCCGGGCGCCAGCCGGCGUCUCCAACCUUCUAUUUUACCAGGUUGACCUCGGAUCAGGUAGGGAUACCCGCUGAACUUAAGCAUAUCAAUAAGCGGAGG